UCCCCGAUAGCUCAAUUGGUAGAGCGAGCGGCUGUUAACCGCUAGGUCGUAGGUUCGAGCCCUACUCGGGGAGCCA
rnacentral:tRNA from 1 species